AUCAUUUCUGCUUUGCUAAGAGGUAUUAUUUUUGGCUGAUGAUGGAGUCAGCCAUAAAGGUGACCUGGUUAUAAGGGGGAAAAUACUGAACAGAGAAAGACCUCUGCUCAAAUACUGACAGAGAAAAUACCUGCCACCCUGGGAACCAGAAGGAUCCUUGAGGAGUGCAGGUGGCAUCUUUGAAGUACAGCUGGAUACCGAGAAACCAGAGACAUCCCAAGAUACCACUGAUAAGUGCAAAAACAACAGUAACAGCAAUGUAUAAUCUGGAGAGGUGAAAAACAUGUCUGGAAAAGGGGGAAACAUCCUGAGAAAGUAAGUGUUGGUAACUGCUAUUGGCUGCUCUAACUCACAGAACAGAAAAACAGUCUGAUAAAACAAAAAGUGGUCUGAGAGAAUAGAAAAUAUCACCAGUUAUUGGCUGUGCCAGGUGAAAAAUAGAAAUUAGCAGCAUUUAUUGGCUGUUUCAGGUGGUGGUGUCCUACUCCCCUUUAUGUCUCUGUGAUACAAAAAGGACUUACUUUUUAUCCAAAAUGGAACCUCUUUCCUGCACGCAAACUCCUUUUCCCCAUGAGAUUUCCUCGGCAGAGCGGACCCUCGCCAGGGACACCGGGCUGACUCCAGGCUCUGAGAUGUGGAUCAUCGUCCAAGGGAGACGCCAUCCGCUGCCGGCUGGCCUCACUUCUGGGGUAGGAUUGACUGGCCCCACUGCUGGGAUCGGUUUGAGCAUUUGGUCACCCUAACUGCAACAUCAGCAACCAGAACCUCAGUUUAUUCUCCCUGGAUUUUGGUCCUACCUUAUUCAUCAUACUGAUUUGGCAAGAUGACAUGAAAUGAAACAACAUGAUGAGCACUUUUGUUUCUUACAGUUGUUAUAUUAUAUAUAUACAGUGAUUGGAUCAUAUCUAGUAAUUACAAUACUGCUUGUUUCCCUAUCUCAAGGAUGGAAUAGCAAUCACACUGUUCAAUAUAUGAAUACAGUUUCUCAAGUGGGCAACAAACUGGAUUGUUGGUAUUGCCACCCUCAAUCAUCCCAAAUGUUGGUGGUGAUCAGAACCUGUACCUGAAGCACCUUGGUAUCAACCUAAUUUGGCAUACUUACUACCCAGUACACCAAAUUAUCAACACGCUUUAAAAUCACAUUCAUAUGCUAAAGCCCCAUUACACAAAUUCAGUUUGGGUGGGGAAAGUAAGCAAUUGUAAUUAUACCUUGUAUUAAAAUCACACCCAAGGACGGUUUCAAUGUCAGUGUGACAGAACACAAUCUUGUAUUGAUUCUGGAAAUCUCAUGGACCUGAAAUAAUGAAUCAGCAAUUACAAACAAAGGUGUUUUUAAUGGACUCUGGCAUCUUACAUGGAACAUUAAUAACAUGAACUGUCAAAGAUACUACAGUCUCACUAGUCUUGAUUCUACAUGCUGUUGUCUACAGAGUAAUGGUUGGCUUAGUACUAAUGAUGAUUGGGGUAUAUGUGGCCCAAGCAACAUAUCUGGCUGUAUAGAUCAUAACCCCUUUUGGACACUGAUUCAUGUGUUUAACAAAAUUGAAUUGUUUUUCUAAUCCGUAGUGUUCAUUCUGCAAACAUGGCAAUGACUCUGGGUGAAGCUGGUGGCCGACAUUUUAACAUCUGGAUGGUUCUGGCUUUGUGGUACUAAUAAUUAUAAAAGUCUACCACCACAGAAGACUGGCACUUGUACCAUAGCAUGUCUUGCUCCUUUGGCAUUUCAAUCUCAGGAUCUGACAUAUAACUUCCAACACAACCAUUACUCUGUAGGUAAUCAGGGCAGAGUGUCUAAGCCCACAGUAAUGAGACCAUCCGUUUCCUAAAGUUGUAUGUGUGCUGUUUCCAAGCUUGGGUGCUAUUGAAUUAGAAUAAGCUGUUGUUAGUAUUUCUGCUACACUUGAAAUUACCCAAAUGCUACUAUGGAUGCUUUAAAGAACCCACAGAUGGAGAGUAACUCACUGUCACAAUUGGCUACCGACACAAAUGAAUUAUUAAGAAAAGUCAUUGUUGUAGAGCUUACUAAAAGGGUUUUAUUAAUGAUUAAACAGUGAUUAAAUGGUAAUUAAUGAGUGAAUGAAAAUGAAAUAAUAAUCAAAUGGUGAUUAAGAAAUAAUCGAAUGUUAAUUAAACAGUGAUUUAACAAUGAUCUGACAAUGAUUUAUAGGAUGAUUUAAAUGAUAAUUUAGAUGGUGAUUAGAUGAUGAUUUAGACAGUGUCGAAACAGUAUGACUUACUACACUUCCAAUAGUUAAGCUAGAUCUGGAUAUAUAAAUGUUAGUAGCAUACAAUAUACCUUUUGGCCUAAUGUAAAAUGUUUCUUACCUCAUUAUAGACAUUAGAUGUCAGGUAAGAGGUGGCUCAACCUCAAGGACUAACCCUGAGAAGCAUCCCUGCCCAAGGGGAGAGCAACUCUGUGCAGCCUGCUGCUGUGCAGGAGAGCUCAAUGGGCUCGAGUGGCUACAGAUGUCUCUAGCCUAAAAUGAUUGUCUUAUAAUCAACCCCACUGGUGUAUGUGCAGGUGUGGAGCUGUAGCAGUUUUAGUUUUGUCUCGUCCCAGCUGGGGCUGGUGCUGUUAGUCCUGAUAAGCUGUGGCCUAGACUCCUUAGUCCCUGAGGAGCUGUGGCCCAGCCCGGGUCUCACAGCUUGCCCAGCAGGGCUGAUUUCAGUCACGGCUGCUUGUUGGUGAUGCCUGAACCAAAGCACCGCUCGCUCACUCAGCGUGGGUACACCCGUCACAGCUACUCACGUUCGCUGGGCCUUGGAUUAUCUUUUAGGCUCCCAGAGGAGUCUUUGCAUGUUAAUGAAUAGUACCCGUUGCUUUUACACUAAGUCAAACAAAUCAAAUAUGAAGUGAAUGUUAUUCAGCAACAUGUCCACCAAGUAAUCCAAGAGCAGCCCCUGCCCAGGCCUGGCCAUGGCCAUCAUCUUGGCUGCCAGACCCCGGAGCAUGGGCACAGUGCAUCUCAGUGACAUUAGCUCUUGUCCUCGCUGCAGGAUGCAUGCUUUUCUGUAGUGUAUCUCAUACGAAAGCACUGUUUUUAUCACUUUUAUCCAAACUGGUACUGUACACUCGUGCCUCAACCAACAAACCCUCUCAGAAGUUGCAACAACACUGGGCCCAACACGGCUAUGAGUCUCCUUCUCCUCAUGCAUUAGGAGGCAAGAGACUACGCCAGGCGGGGUGUAGUCUCACUCCUAGUGACCCAUCAGCGGUCACAGGCCAAGGGGUGGAGUGAUGGGAGCAGCCAUAAAGGCAAUCUGGUUAUGAGGGGGAAAAUACUGAACAGAAGACCUCUGGUCAAAUACUGACGGAGAAAAUGCCUGCCGCCCUGGGGACCAGAAGCAUGCUUGAAGAGCACAACUGGCAUCUUUGAAGUGCAACUGGGUACCAAGAAAUCAGAGACAGCCUGAGACACUUUCGAUGCGAAGUACAAAACCAAGAAACUGUAACAGCAAGUUAUCAUCUGGAAUGGUGAAAAAAAAAAAAAAAAAAAAAAAAAAAAAGCCUGGAAAAGGGGGAAAACACCCUGAGAAA